rnacentral:rRNA from 1 species
GAUGAACGCUGGCGGCGUGCCUAACACAUGCAAGUCGAGCGGACUUAUGAUGAGAUUCUUCGGAUGAUUUUUAUAAGUUAGCGGCGGAUGGGUGAGGAACGCGUGGAGAACCUGCCCUUCACAGGGGGAUAACAGUUGGAAACGACUGUUAAUACCGCAUAUGCUCACGCGACCGCAUGGUCGAGUGAGGAAAGCUCCGGCGGUGAAGGAUGGCUCCGCGUCGGAUUAACUAGUUGGCGGGGUAACGGCCCACCAAGGUGAUGAUCCGUAGCCGGCCUGAGAGGGCGACCGGCCACAUUGGGACUGAGACACGGCCCAAACUCC